GAUGAACGCUGGCGGCGUGCCUAAUACAUGCAAGUCGAGCGAACAGAUAAGGAGCUUGCUCCUUUGACGUUAGCGGCGGACGGGUGAGUAACACGUGGAUAACCUACCUAUAAGACUGGGAUAACUUCGGGAAACCGGAGCUAAUACCGGAUAACAUAUUGAACCGCAUGGUUCAAUAGUGAAAGGCGGCUUUGCUGUCACUUAUAGAUGGAUCCGCGCCGUAUUAGCUAGUUGGUAAGGUAACGGCUUACCAGGGCAACGAUACGUAGCCGACCUGAGAGGGUGAUCGGCCACACUGGAACUGAGACACGGUCCAGACUCCUACGGGAGGCAGCAGUAGGGAAUCUUCCGCAAUGGGCGAAAGCCUGACGGAGCAACGCCGCGUGAGUGAUGAAGGUCUUCGGAUCGUAAAACUCUGUUAUCAGGGAAGAACAAAUGUGUAAGUAACUGUGCACAUCUUGACGGUACCUGAUCAGAAAGCCACGGCUAACUACGUG
rnacentral:rRNA from 1 species